rnacentral:rRNA from 1 species
UACGUAGGGGGGCUAGCGUUGUCCGGAAUCAUUGGGCGUAAAGAGCGCGUAGGCGGCCAGAUAAGUCCGGUGUGAAAGUCAAAGGCUCAACCUUUGAAUGCCGCUGGAAACUGUCUGGCUAGAGUCCGGGAGGGGCGAGUGGAAUUCCUGGUGUAGCGGUGAAAUGCGCAGAUAUCAGGAGGAACACCAAUGGCGAAGGCAG